UACAGAGGUCCCAAGCGUUGUUCGGAUUCACUGGGCGUAAAGGGUGCGUAGGCGGUCGGGUAAGUCUGACGUGAAAUCUUCAAGCUCAACUUGGAAACUGCGUCGGAUACUAUUCGGCUAGAGGAAUGCAGAGGUAACUGGAAUUCCUGGUGUAGCGGUGAAAUGCGUUGAUAUCAGGAGGAACACCCAUGGCGAAGGCAGGUUACUGGGCAUUAUCUGACGCUGAGGCGCGAAAGCGUGGGUAGCAAACAGG
rnacentral:rRNA from 1 species